ACCUGGCUGGCUCAGUUGGUAGAGCAUGGGACUCUUGAUCUUGGGGUUGUAAGUUUGAAUCCUGCUUUGGGUG
rnacentral:tRNA from 1 species